CCACACUUUGAACAGGUGGAGGGCAAGGCCUAAUAUCUUUCCUUGGGGUUUACUAGGCUUGGUUUGAUUAUUUUUGUUUUUAUUUAUUUAUUUGUUAUUUUGUUAUUUUUUUUUAAAAAUUAGGGAAGAUGGAUGGGCGGGUGGAAUUGAUAUUUGUUUUUAAACAUUCCUUUUUUUUUUUAGAAAUUUAGUUAUAUACCCAAUCUUAGACAUGGUUUUAUAAAGAAACCCUACACCGUUUAAAAACUAUAAACACACCCAAAAAAAAUCCAAAAAUUGACAGCUAUCAAAUUUUUUUAAUUUAAUAGUUGUUUUUUAGUUUAUUUGUGUGUGUUAAAUACCUAUAUUGUCCUUGUACUAUGGAUUUAAGAGAGGAAAAUCAGAUCUGCCCAGAUCUGCCAUAAAACCAAAUAUUUCCAUGUCUGCCAAAAAACCAAAUCUGCCAAAAAAACCAAAUCUGCCAAAAAAUCAAAUCAUAUUUAUUUUCUCCUUUCUCGCUGGUGUUUUCUCUGGUGUUGGAGCAAGAGGAGCUUCCAUUGAAGCUCAGUCUCAGACCUUGAAAAAACCUCGAUCAGAUGCUUUUAGCUCUACUCCUCAUCUUCGAGCUCUACUCCUCUUUCGCCACAUCAUUGUCGUUGUUAUCGUCGUCGCCGUCGUCGUCGUCGUUUGGUUUGUACUUGAGAUUUUUGAUCUUUUGCUUCAAUUAUGUGUUUCUCUUCGGAUUUUAGUUGAUUUUCGAAAUGUAUUUGAAGCUUUGAUGAUCGAUUCAACUUUUGUUACUAUUUCA